UACGGAGGGUGCUAGCGUUGUUCGGAAUCAUUGGGCGUAAAGGGCGCGUAGGCGGUCUAUCAAGUCAGGUGUGAAAUCCCUUGGCCUAACCGAGGAACUGCGCUUGAAACUGGUAGACUUGAGUACGGGAGAGGGAAGCGGAAUUCCGAGUGUAGAGGUGAAAUUCGUAGAUAUUCGGAGGAACACCAGCGGCGAAGGCGGCUUCCUGGACCGAUACUGACGCUGAGGCGCGAAAGCGUGGGGAGCAAACAGG
rnacentral:rRNA from 1 species